UACGUAGGGGGCUAGCGUUGUCCGGAUUUAUUGGGCGUAAAGAGCUCGUAGGUGGCUUGUCACGUCGGGUGUGAAAGCUUGGGGCUUAACUCCAGGUCUGCAUUCGAUACGGGCUGGCUAGAGGUAGGUAGGGGAGAACGGAAUUCCUGGUGUAGCGGUGAAAUGCGCAGAUAUCAGGAGGAACACCGGUGGCGAAGGCGGUUCUCUGGGCCUUACCUGACGCUGAGGAGCGAAAGCGUGGGGAGCGAACAGG
rnacentral:rRNA from 1 species